rnacentral:lncRNA from 1 species
UUAUUAUUAUUUAUUUUUAUUUUUUUUACAUAAAUAUACAUUUCAUAACCAACGAUGCACCAUUUUUAUUAUGCAGAAAAAGGAGCCGAGGAUAUUUCCAGAAUAAUCAGAAGAUAUAAAAUAGGAAAGAAUUUUGCUUGUUAUGGAGGGGCAUUCGCUCGUUUUGCUAAUGACGCAGUUGCAUUUAACGAAAAAGAGUUCAAGCCACAGUUGGGUAUUCAUAUGAAUAUGUAUUUAUUUGAUAAUUAUAUAUUUAAUAAUAAUUCUAUAAAAUUAAUUUAUUUUUCACGUUGGCAUAUUCUUGUAUAUUUAUCUAACCAUAAAAUGUAUUUAUAUAAACAUAGUAGAUACCCAUUGCAUUGCAAUAAUUUUAAUCAAUGGAAAUGUUUAAAUAUACCAACAAAUAACGAAAUAAUACAUAUGCAAAUAGUCUCGUGUGAUUACAAUGGGGAUAUAUAUUUUGAUUCGGUUAACGACAAUUUGUUUCGUAAUGAGAUGGAAAAAAGUAAUUGUAGUAAAACAAGUAAUCAAGAAGUGAAUAACCCAGCGUGUUAUAAUAAUAAUAACAAUAAUAAUAAUAAUAAUAAUAACAAUAAUAAUAAUAAUAAUAACAAUAAUAAUAAUAACAAUAAUAAUAAUAAUAAUAAUAAUAACAAUAAUAAUAAUAACAAUGUUAGUCAUUAUGAUGGUUGUAAUAAUAAUGAUAACAAUGAUAAUUAUCAUAAUGGCUGUAAUGAUAGCAUUUAUAACAAUAACAACAGUAAUAUAUGUAGUUAUAAUAAUACCACACAAAAAAACACAACGGUUAACCCAAAACAUAUUUUUGGUAUCAGCUUAAUAGAUAACAAAAGAAAUUUAUAUAUAGGAUUUAAUACAUGUGAAAAAUUGAAUAAGUACAUGAUUAAACAAAUUAAAAUAAUUAUUCCAGCUAAUUUUAUAAAAAAAAUUAAAAAAGUAAAAGCUUUAUUUGUUAGUAUACCUGAGUUAAAUGAAAAAGAUAUACAACAUAAUAACAAUGUAGAAUUAAAAUAUGCUACAUUUUACGAAUUAUCAUAUAAUUAUAUUUCUAAAACAAAUAAAAAAAUAAAAAAAGAAAUAAAUUCUAUGAAGUUAAAAAAUAAUAUAGAUAAAAAAGUAAAAAAUGCGAGUAACUUAAAUUUUAAUGAACCUGUUGAAACUCAAUUAACUGAAACGUUGGAAAAUGGCAGUUCAAAUUUACCUAGUAAUAAAAUGAAUGAAAAUGUAGAACUAGAAAGUGCAAGAACAAAAGACGCAACAGUAACUGAUGCAGAUUUUAAGAAUGCUUGUAGUAAUAGCAAUAAUAAUAAUAAUAAUAAUAAUAAUAAUAAUUAUAAUAAUAAUUAUAAUAAUAAUACAGAUACUAAUAAAUGUAAUAAUAAUAUAAAUGUCCCAAACGAAAGCAUCAACAAAAGCACUUUUAACACAUGUAAUGAAUAUCCUGAAUCACAAAGUGAAUUUUUGAACAAGCAAAAUAUUUCUUUGUUGCAUAAAAAUGAAUUAGAUAUGACUAAUGCAAAGCUAUUGCGACAAAAAGUGGAAUUACCAAUAAAUCAUAAUAAAAAAAAAAAAAAUAAUAAUAAUAUUAAUAAUAACAAUAAUACUGAUAACAAUAAUACUGAUAACAAUAAUACUGAUAAUAAUAAUAUUAAUAAUAACAAUAAUACCAAUAAUAAUAAUAUUGAUAACAACAAUAAUGAUAAUCUUAAUUCACAACUAAACAAAAGAAGAAAAUUUUCUUUUAAUAAUAAUAUCGAUUGUAAUAACGUUAAAAACAAAGCUACCAUUUUUUGUAAUACUAUAAAUACCCCAAAUUUGUUUAGUAAUAAUGCAGGUUGUAGUAACAAUAAUAAUAGUAAUAGUGGUGCAUAUUUUGAUAAAUUAAAAAAAAAAUCCUCAAUAAAAAAAAAAAAUAAUAAAACAUUUUAUAAAGAAUUGGAUAAUGGAACAAUAAAUAGAAAAUUUUAUUUUUUAUAUAUUAAAAUAUCUGAUAGCAUAAAAUUAAAAAAAAAAAUACUUAUAAAGUCAAAACCUAUCGUAUUCAUUAGUGGAACGUCUUGUAAGCAUGGGUGUGUUUUAUUUGAAAAUAAAAAUAUAUAUUUUUGGGUAUAUAAAAAAAAAAAAUAUCAUAAUAAGACAUAUAUGUCUAUUAACAAAAACGAAAUAGUUAAUGAUGGAGAUGGGGAUAAUAAUAAUCGUAUUGUUUUUAAAAAAUUAAAAUAUCCUAAAUUGAAAAUCAUUGAUGUUGUUCAUUGUAAUAAUAUAUAUAUAUUAUUAACAGAAGAUAAAAAUAUAUAUAUUUUA